ACUGGAAAAACAUCUAUGUUGAAAGGCAACGUCCUGCUCUUGGAGAAUGUCUGGCUUCCCUGGCAGCUGCCAUCCCAGUGGCAUUCCUGGAGCCUAGCCUUAACCGCUAUAAUCCCCUCUCAGUCUUCAACACCAAGACUCCCAGGGAGCGGUCUAUUCUGGGGAUGCCAGACAAGGUGGAAGAAAUGUGUCCUGACAUCCCCAG